rnacentral:lncRNA from 1 species
AGAAGCGACGCUAAGAGAUGACGUCUUCUUGAAUGUACUCAGCUGUUCAUCACAUUUUAUUGAUUUACUUCGAAAGUAUGCGCCUCUACCGGUCACAUCCGGAGUUCUUAGAUGAGAAAUUUUAGUCGCACAAUAAACAACGUAUCAUCACACUGAAAAUGGUAAAGCAACAACAACAUCAACGAGGAAAAUGCAACAAUGGAUGCCCCCAACUUGUUGGAAACGCUGGCAAAAUUUCCAAGGUUGGUCGACUUCACCCAAUUAAAACGAUCAAAAAGUAUCGAGAAUUUCUUGAAGCUGCAGAACACGAAAGAAAUUUAAAGAUUCAGCGAACGAAGAAUAAAACGAUUGAAAGUUGCGUGUAAUUGAAUUCGUUGUUUCAUCAAUAUAUUGAGGGGAGGCUAAAUUCACGAAGAGGGACCAAAUUUCCUAGGAAUUAUGAACCAGGGCCAGCAAAUGUCAAGGAGAAUGUUAUGCUUCAAUGAAACGAAGAAUUUGAAGAAUUUUCGCUUCAGGAAUAUCGACACUUGCCUCCGUGGAUAGCGUGUAGUCCUCGACAUGCAAGUCGCAAAGUUCACGCCAAUUCAGUUCAGUUUAUAUCAUACAUUGCAUCAAUUAACAAAUUAGAAAAUAAUAAUAGUUUGACCUUGACUGAAUGUUCACCCGUGAUAUAACGUCUGAUACGUUUCGUAUUUCGUAUCCCGAGUGGUUGAGAUAGUUAAAUAUAUAGAAUCUGCACUAUAACGUGCUGAUAUA